rfam:Oryza sativa Japonica Group DNA, chromosome 3, cultivar: Nipponbare, complete sequence.
AAUAAAUACAGUUUUAGCAUUGUUCAUGUCCAACGUUUGAUCAUUCGUCUUAUUUGAAAAAGGAUUAUGAUUAGUAUUUUUAUUGUUACUAGAUGAUAAAAUAUGAAUAGUAUUUUACGUGAGACUAAUUUUUUUAAUAUUUUUCAUAAAUUUUUUAAAUAACACGAAUGGUCAAAACGCUAAACACGGAUAUCUAUGGCUGCACUUAUU